GGAGAGGUGCCGGAGUGGUCGAACGGGGCGGUCUCGAAAACCGUUGAGCCUUCACGGGCUCCCAGGGUUCGAAUCCCUGUCUCUCCG
rnacentral:tRNA from 4 species